rnacentral:lncRNA from 1 species
CUAACGAAGUUUUGUUUACUUCCAGAUCACAAAGACUUUCUCCUAUUUUUUUUUCUAGAAGUUUUAUGUUUGUCUAUUAUAUUUAAGUCCAUGAUCCAUUUUGGACUUAAUUCUUAUAUAAGGUGUAAGAUUUACAUUGAGGUUAUUUUUUUUCCUAUGGAGGUGCAAUAUAUGCAGCCCCAUUAGCUGAAAAGAUUAUUUAUCCUAUUAAAUUACCUUAGCAAUUUUGGUCAAUACCACACUGUUUUGGUAAACUAUAACUUUAUAGUAAGACUAAGAUAUGUAGUACAAUUCUUUCAACUUUCUUCAUUUGCAAGAAUGAUGCUUAUUCUAUGUCUUUCCAUUCCCAUAUGAACUUUUAGAUUCAGAUUGUUAAUUUCUACCAAAUUUCAAAAUUUUAAUUUGUAUUUUAUUAAAUCUAUAGAUCAAUGUAUGAAUAAUUUAUCUUAAUAAUACUGAGUGUUUUGAUUCAUGAAUAUAGUAUAUAUCAAUUUAAACCUUCUUUAAUAUGUCUCAGCAUUGUUUAUAGUUUCAGAGUGAAAAUCUUUCACAUGUCUAGUUAAUUAAGUUUCAUCACUUGGAUUGCUUUUUAAAUUUUUUUUUAGUUAUUGAUGGACCUUUAUUUAUUUAUUUGUUUAUAUGUGGUGCUGAGAAUUGAACCCAGUGCCUCACACAUGCUAGGCAAACUCUCUACCACUGAGCCACAACCCCAGCCCAUAAAUUUAUUUUUCAAUAUUGGGGAUUGAUCCCAAAGCCUUGUACAUGGUAGGCAAGUGCUCUACCACUGAGCUACAACUCCAGACCCCUGUUUGGUAGUUUAAAAGAAAUAAUUUGAAAUUUUCCAUCUGUUCUUUAUUAGAAUAUUGGAAUAAUAUUUUUAAUUUUAUUUUUAUCUUUACUGGUAGAUAAUAAUUGUAUAUAUUUAUGGGAUACAAAGUGAUACUUCAGUGAAUUUUACAUUCUGGAAUAAUUGAACCAGAGUAAUUAGCACAUACAUCACUUCAAGUAUUUAUCAUUUCUUUGUAGUGAGGACAUUUAAAAUCCUCACUUAGCUAUUUUGAAAUAUACAAUAUGUUAUUAUGUACUAUAGUCACCUCACCACACAACAGCACACCCAAAUUUAAUCCUCUUAUCCACUAGAACCCAUUGACUAAUGUCUCCCUUUUCCCUAUCCACCCAACAGCCUCUGUUAACCACCAUUCUAUUUUCUGCUUCUGAGUUUGACUUUGUUAGAUUCCACAUAUAAGUGAGACCCUAUGGGAUGUGUAACUCUGCCCAACUUAUUUCACUUAACAUAAUGUCCUCUAGCUUUGUCAAUAUUGUCAAAAAUGACAGAAUUUCUCAUUUUUUAAAGGCUGAAUAAAUCCACUAUGUGUAUAUGCCAUAUAUUUUAUAGUUUUAAAAGAAUUUAUUAAACUGUUAUAGCAGGAUACAUUUUUAAAAUAAAAGUACAAAAUAUUUCUGGAAAGAAUUGUCACCAGAAAUGUUAUCAACCAGUUUAUUUUUCCUCUCAGUCCUCUGAUUUUCUUAUAACAUGCAUGUUUUUAAAACUUAAGCAAAUUCUAUUUGCAUUCCCCUUUCCACUAAUUUUACCAAACAGUCUAUCAGCUAGAAUCUUGAGCAACUGCUGACAGUAAUCUAAUUUCCUGGGUUCUAUUUCAUACUAUCCCAAGCUUCUUUUACAGUAGAAGUGAUUACUUUAUGUUAAAUUUCUAACAAAAAUAUUCUUGUUAAAUGUUAGUAAAGGGUGGCAAUUUUCGUUAAAGGCAUUUCCUAUUAACCAUGGUUAAAAUGGGACCUUAGAUAAACCUGAUUUUAGAUGAAAACUAUGAAAAAAAAACAAUUUACAAUUAGGUCUUUAUGUAAGAAAUACUCUAUGCAGCAUGAGACAAACCAUAGCUCUUACCUUUCAAUUUCCUGGCUUAACAAGAAAUAGCAAAUUUAUUUUUGGGAGGGAUGGGUACCAGGGAUUGAACUCAGGGACACUCAACCACUGAGCCAUAUCCCAACCCUAUUUUGUAUUUUAUUUAGAGACAUGGUCUCACUGAGUUGCUUAGCACCUCAUGGUUGUUGAGGCUGGAUUUGAACUCACAAUCCUCCUGCCUCAGCCUCCUGAGCCACUGGGAUUACAGGCAUGUACCUCCACACCCAGUGCAAAUUCAUUUUUAAAAGGGUAUACAUAUACAUUUUUAGUUUGAUGAUUCCAUUUGCAAUAAGAAUCAAUUCAGAUUUUAAUUACCAUGGAACUUUGACAAUUCUAGCAAUUGCAAAGCUGAAUUUUAUCAAACUAAAAGCAAAUAACAUUCUAAGAUUUCAUAUGUUUAACCUGUUAAAAAUUCAGUUAAGGGUUGUGGCUUAGUGGUAGAGUGCUCUCCUAGUACAUGCAAGGCCCUGGGUUUAAUCCUCAGCACCACAUAAAAAUAAAUAAAAUAAAGGUAUUGUGUUCAACUACAACUAAAAAAUAAUUUUUAAAAAUUUUAAUUAAAUAUUUCAAUCAAGGGCAUACUAUCUAAAACUAGUAUUGUUAUCUAGUCAUGAGUUUCUCAUUACAUUUUGCAGCCCCUAAAUGUUCAGAAUAAAUGUAACAUUCACAUAAUACUACAGUCCAUAAAAAGAGUAUGUUCUUUUCCUGGGUUUGCCAUAUUUUUUAUAUCCAUGCAAAUGUUGAUGGACAUUUUAGUUGUUUCCAUAGCUGGAUAUUGUGAACAAUGCUACAAUGAAGAUGGAAGUGCAGAUAUAUCUUUAGCAAAAUGAUUUCAUUUCUUUGGGUAUAUAUCUAAUAGUGUGAUUGCUUUAAUCCAUGGGUUGUUUAUAAGCAUGGUUUUGAUAGCAGCCAAAAACCUAAAAGGUGUGGUUUUAAUUUUCAUUUCUCUGAUGAUUAAUGAUAGUGAAGUAUUAGAGUUCCUGACUAUUAUUAUGUUGCAGUCUAUAUUCCCACCAGACUAAUAUUUGAUUUAUAUAUUUAGACACUCUUAACAUUUGAUGCAUGCUAUAGUUUGGAUAUAAAUUUUCCCCCAAAGAUUCAUGUGCUAUAUUCUUGGUCCCCAAUUUGGUAUUGUUCAAGUGGUGGAACUUUUAAGAGGUGGUGCCUAGUGGAACGUAAUUACAUCACAGGGGCACCACCCUUGGAAAGAAUCAAUACAGGUCUCAUGGAACUGGAUUACUUCCCCCCAGAGUAGGUUGUCAUAAGGAAACCUGAACUAUCCAAAUUUCUCUUCUGUAUUUGGUGAUUUUCUCUCCCAUAUGCACUCCUACUAUUGUGAUACCUUCUGUCAUGAGGUCUUCUCCAGAGCUGAGCAGAUGCCAGUGCCGAGCAGAUUCCAGUGCCAUGGAACCUCUAUAAGUGUAAGCUAAAUAAACGAUUUUUUCUUUAUAAAAUACCUAGAUUUGGGUAUUUUGCUAUAGAAACACAAAAUGGACUAAGGCAACGCAUAUAUACUUAUAAUUUUUAAAUAUUCUUGAUGAAUAUUUGACAUCUCUAUGUAAUCACCAUCUUUGUUUCCUUUAACAGUUUUGCCUUAAAUUCUAUUU